UAUUUAAGGCUCUGAGCAUUGGAUAGCUGCUCAGACCAAAGAGGCAAUACUGGUGUAAGCAGAAGAUUACCUUUCAAGGAAAGAAAUUUCCUGUUGAAUCCAGAUGAAACAAACACAGAAGAUGCUGCUACCUGCAAGGCAUGAAAAGCUGGCUUAAAGGAACUGAAACAAGAACUAGAGGCUUCCUAAAAGGAAUUAAAGCAAGAAAACCACUUGACAACUUCUCGAAACCUAUUAAAGCUACAUCCAGAGAUUUCCCAGAAAGGGCAAAGAUAUGAUCUGCAGUUGGAAAUAAUUACUUGGUGAACGCAGCAGCUACAAAGAGACUAGACAGAUUGGGAAACCCAGUUACAAAAUAUUCACUCUAGACUGGCAAAAUAGAUUGAUAAGGUUACCAGCAACCUGACCACAUAUUUUCUAGGGUAUAAGGAAGACUGAGAAAGCCUUGGCCAGCAUGGGACUUGCUAACAGAGAUAAGCUGCAGCAAGGACUCAAAGAGCUUGAAAAAAAAAUCACCAGGAGAAAGAAUUCAGAGGCUUGAAGAUCACAGCUGAAGCCAGCCAUCUGCCUGGGGUUUCAGAACAGUGAGAGAAUCAGCAGCCUAACAGAAGAGAGCAGUCAUUAGUGAGGAAAACAGAAGCUGAUUGCCAUGAGCCCUAGAAACAUCAUCACAGGCACUUGGGCAGCAUAAUGCUGUGAAACAACGCUGGGCACAAGCGCACACAUGCCAGCAAAACAGCACCCAAGCUCUAGUGAUGAGGUCUG